UCUAACGGCAUCUCGCAAAUUAGACAGCGUGAACGGGAGAUAAAAAGAACAUUUAUAAAAAACAUAGAUUGAAUAAUAGUUCCAAGUGGUUUACAUUUGGAUAAAAAAUGGCUCUUUGUCAAAUCGU
rnacentral:sRNA from 1 species